rnacentral:rRNA from 1 species
GAUGAACGCUGGCGGCGUGCCUAAUACAUGCAAGUCGAGCGAACAGAUGAGGAGCUUGCUCCUCUGACGUUAGCGGCGGACGGGUGAGUAACACGUGGAUAACCUACCUAUAAGACUGGGAUAACUUCGGGAAACCGGAGCUAAUACCGGAUAAUAUAUUUAACCGCAUGGUUCAAUAGUGAAAGACGGUUUUGCUUUCACUUAUAGAUGGAUCCGCGCCGCAUUAGCUAGUUGGUAAGGUAACGGCUUACCAAGGCAACGAUGCGUAGCCGACCUGAGAGGGUGAUCGGCCACACUGGAACUGAGACACGGUCCAGACUCCUACGGGAGGCAGCAGUAGGGAAUCUUCCGCAAUGGGCGAAAGCCUGACGGAGCAACGCCGCGUGAGUGAUGAAGGUCUUCGGAUCGUAAAACUCUGUUAUUAGGGAAGAACAAAUGUGUAAGUAACUAUGCACGUCUUGACGGUACCUAAUCAGAAAGCCACGGCUAACUACGU